rnacentral:misc_RNA from 1 species
GCAGAGCCGCUGAGAUAUCGAAAGUAAUAGUUUAAGACAAUGACUGUCUUCAGUAAAAAUUAUAUUGCCGUGGCGCCUUAUUUGCAGAAAGGAAUUGAUUUGGUCACAAAAGCAACUGACGAAGAUCGUGCAAAAAACUAUAGCGAAGCCUUAAGACUGUAUGAACACGGUGUUGAAUAUUUCUUACAUGCUAUAAAAUAUGAAGCACAUAGCGAAAAAGCAAAAGAAAGUAUCAGAGCUAAAUGUGUUCAAUAUUUGGAAAGGGCUGAAAAAUUAAAAGCCUAUUUGAAUAAUGAUGGAAGUGAUAAAAAGAAACCGGUUAAGGAUGGAAGCACGAACGAUAAAAACAGUGACAGCGAGGAAGAACCUGAAAAAAAGAAAUUUCAAUCCCAACUCCAAGGGGCAAUUGUAAUGGAAAAGCCCAAUGUCCUAUGGGAUGAUGUAGCUGGCUUAGAAGCAGCUAAAGAAGCUUUGAAAGAAGCUGUUAUAUUGCCUAUAAAAUUCCCUCAUUUGUUCACCGGAAAAAGAACACCUUGGAAGGGUAUUUUAUUAUUUGGACCACCAGGAACUGGAAAGUCAUACUUAGCGAAAGCUGUUGCAACUGAAGCAAAUAAUUCUACUUUCUUUUCAGUCUCAUCAUCUGAUUUGGUUUCAAAAUGGUUAGGAGAGAGUGAGAAGCUUGUAAAAAAUCUCUUUGAAAUGGCUAGAGAAAACAAACCUAGUAUAAUAUUCAUAGAUGAAGUUGAUUCAUUAUGCUCCGCUAGAAGUGAAAAUGAGUCUGAAUCUGCAAGAAGGAUAAAAACGGAAUUUUUAGUCCAAAUGCAGGGUGUCGGAAACAAUAAUGAUGGAGUUCUAGUUUUAGGAGCGACAAAUAUUCCAUGGGUUUUAGAUGCAGCUAUUAGAAGACGUUUUGAGAAGCGUAUAUAUAUUCCUUUACCCGAGGCCGGCGCCCGUACUACUAUGUUUACCUUACACAUUGGUAAUACUGUGACGCAAUUAAAACAUGAAGAUUUUAAAGCUUUAGGAGAACGGAGUGAAGGAUAUUCCGGAGCUGAUAUAUCAUUAGUUGUACGUGACGCCCUCAUGCAACCAGUACGAAAAGUUCAGACAGCAACUCAUUUUAGAAAAGUCAAAGGGCCAUCUCCUAACAACAAAGACCUUGUUGUAGAUGAUCUUUUAACACCCUGCAGUCCUGGUGCUCCAGGAGCAAAGGAAAUGAGCUGGAUGGAAGUUCCAGGAGAUAAAUUAUUAGAACCACCAGUAACAAUGAAUGACAUGAUUAAAUCUCUAGAAGUACAGAAACCAACAGUAAACGAGGAAGAUCUUAAAAAGCUGCAAAAGUUCACUGAUGAUUUUGGCCAGGAAGGUUAAAAUCAGCGGAAACAAACUGCUUAAUAUUUACUCUCAAAAAUAAAACAUAAAAAUUAUAUAUUUUAUUUCGUUUUAACCAUGAAUGAUUUAUUCAAUAUUUUUUAAAUUGUAUGUAAAGAGUAGCUGCUUCAUUUCCGUAUGAAGUUGAAGUAAGGAAAAUAAAACUUGUUCAUACUUUAGUUCAAUUACAUCGUAAGUAUAUAAAUAUAUAUAUAAAUUUAUAUAAAUAUAGACAGUAUAUAUGUAAAGCUUUAAUUGAUACGAAAUUUAUUCUUCUGUUUUUAUAGUUUUCUAAAAUUAAGUUAUAUUUAUUACAGAUUGAAAAUAAUAAACAAUUGGUUUCCAACUAAUUAACUUCAUAGUUAAUUGCUAUUUCCUUGUUUGUUUUAUAAUUUAAUUACUUUUAAAUAGGCGAAUACCUAUUCCCAUUAUAUUUUAAUUACUAAUUCAAGUAUUAGUCAUUGAAGAGUUACUAUCUUAUCUCUUCUCAUUUUGUCAUUUUGAACCGGAAUUUCGUGCGUAAUUUAUUCACUAUUCAUGUGACUAUGAUUCAUUUUCUACUCUUUUGAUAAAUCCUCACUAUAAUUUUUCAUACGAAAUGGGGGAAAAUGAGAGAGCAUAUAAAUCAUACUUGAGUAUGAAUUGUAAAUCAUUUAAAAUUUAAAAGUAAAUAAGGGUACGACCACAAAAAUGGCAUAAGAUAUACUUCAUUAACUAACUAGUUAUU